CCUACGGGGGGCUGCAGUGGGGAAUAUUGGACAAUGGGCGAAAGCCUGAUCCAGCCAUGCCGCGUGUGUGAAGAAGGCCUUCGGGUUGUAAAGCACUUUCAGUGGGGAAGAAAGCCUUGGGGCUAAUACCCUCGAGGAAGGACAUCACCAACAGAAGAAGCACCGGCUAACUCCGUGCCAGCAGCCGCGGUAAUACGGAGGGUGCGAGCGUUAAUCGGAAUUACUGGGCGUAAAGCGCGCGUAGGCGGUCUGAUAAGCCGGUUGUGAAAGCCCCGGGCUCAACCUGGGAACGGCAUCCGGAACUGUCAGGCUAGAGUGCAGGAGAGGAAGGUAGAAUUCCCGGUGUAGCGGUGAAAUGCGUAGAGAUCGGGAGGAAUACCAGUGGCGAAGGCGGCCUUCUGGACUGACACUGACGCUGAGGUGCGAAAGCGUGGGUAGCAAACAGGAUUAGAUACCCGAGUAGUC
rnacentral:rRNA from 1 species